CACAUACUCCCUCCGUCCGGAAAUACUUGUCAUCAAGAUGAAUAAAAGGGAUGUAUCUAGACGUAUUUUAGUUCUAGAUACAUCCUUUUUUAUCCAUUUUGAUGACAAGUAUUUCCCGACGGAGAGAGUACAUC
rfam:Triticum urartu cultivar G1812 contig156472, whole genome shotgun sequence.